GACGAACGCUGGCGGCGUGCCUAAUACAUGCAAGUAGAACGCUGAAGGAGGAGCUUGCUUCUCUGGAUGAGUUGCGAACGGGUGAGUAACGCGUAGGUAACCUGCCUGGUAGCGGGGGAUAACUAUUGGAAACGAUAGCUAAUACCGCAUAAGAGUAGAUGUCGCAUGACAUUUGCUUAAAAGGUGCAAUUGCAUCACUACCACAUGGACCUGCGUUGUAUUAGCUAGUUGGUGAGGUAACGGCUCACCAAGGCAACGAUACAUAGCCGACCUGAGAGGGGGAUCGGCCACACUGGGACUGAGACACGGCCCAGACUCCUACGGGAGGCAGCAGUAGGGAAUCUUCGGCAAUGGACGGAAGUCUGACCGAGCAACGCCGCGUGAGUGAAGAAGGUUUUCGGAUCGUAAAGCUCUGUUGUAAGAGAAGAACGAGUGUGAGAGUGGAAAGUUCACACUGUGACGGUAUCUUACCAGAAAGGGACGGCUAACUACGUG
rnacentral:rRNA from 1 species